AACACAUGCAAGUCGAGGGGCAGCAUGGUCUUAGCUUGCUAAGACUGAUGGCGACCGGCGCACGGGUGCGUAACGCGUAUGCAACUUGCCUCACAGAGGGGGAUAACCCGUCGAAAGACGGACUAAUACCGCGUACACUCCAGCUUGGGCAUCCAGGCUAGAGGAAAUGAAAUUCGCUGUGAGAUAGGCAUGCGUCCCAUUAGCUAGUUGGUGAGGUAACGGCUCACCAAGGCGACGAUGGGUAGGGGAACUGAGAGGUUGAACCCCCACACUGGUACUGAGACACGGACCAGACUCCUACGGGAGGCAGCAGUGAGGAAUAUUGGUCAAUGGGCGAGAGCCUGAACCAGCCAAGUCGCGUGAAGGAUGACUGUCUUAUGGAUUGUAAACUUCUUUUGUAGGGGAAUAAAGAAUGGUACGUGUACCAUAGUGAAUGUACCCUACGAAUAAGCAUCGGCUAACUCCGUGCCAGCAGCCGCGGUAAUACGGAGGAUGCGAGCGUUAUCCGGAUUUAUUGGGUUUAAAGGGUGCGUAGGCGGCCUGUUAAGUCAGCGGUGAAAUCUAGGGGCUUAACUCCUAAAUUGCCAUUGAUACUGGUGGGCUUGAGUGUAGAUGAGGUAGGCGGAAUGCGUGGUGUAGCGGUGGAAUGCAUAGAUAUCACGCAGAACUCCAAUUGCGAAGGCAGCUUACUAAGGUACAACUGACGCUGGAGCACGAAAGCGUGGGUAUCAAACAGGAUUAGAUACCCUGGUAGUCCACGCAGUAAACGAUGAUAACUGGGCGUAUGCGAUAUACAGUAUGCUCCUAAGCGAAAGCGUUAAGUUAUC
rnacentral:rRNA from 1 species